UUUAUCAAAAACAUGUCUCUUUGAGAUUUUUUAAUAAAGAGUUGGGCCUGCUCGGUGAUUAAUAUUUAACAGCUGCGGUAUUAUAACUGUACUAAGGUAGCAUAAUAAUUUGCUCUAUAAAUUGGGGCUAGAAUGAAUGGUUUGACGAAAAUUUGACUGUCUCUAUUUUAUUUAUUAGAAAUUAAUUUUUAUAGUGAGAAAGCUUAAAUUGUUUAAAGGGACGAAAAGACCCUAUUGAGCUUAUAUUAUUUUAUAAAUUAUAUGAUUGUUGUUUAUUUAGAAUAAUUUUGAUUGGGGUGAUCAAGGAAUAAGAUUGUUUAAAUUAACUUCCUUAAUUAAUUUGUUUUGUGGAAAAAUAAACCAAAUUUUUUGCUUAGAAGAUAAGUUACCAUAGGGAUAACAGCGUAAUUUUUUUUGAGAGUUCAUAUUGAAAAAAGAGAUUGCGACCUCGAUGUUGGAUUAAAAUUAACCCUUAAGGUGAAGAGGCUUU
rnacentral:rRNA from 1 species